GUGCCAGCAGCCGCGGUAAUACAGAGGGUGCGAGCGUUGUCCGGAAUUACUGGGCGUAAAGGGCGCGUAGGCGGCUUGAUAAGUAGGAGGUGAAAUUCCAUGGCUCAACCAUGGAUCGGCCUUCUAGACUGUCAGGCUUGAGCACGGUAGAGGCAGAUGGAAUUCCCGGUGUAGCGGUGGAAUGCGUAGAGAUCGGGAAGAACACCAGUGGCGAAGGCGGUCUGCUGGGCCGUUGCUGACGCUGAGGCGCGACAGCGUGGGGAGCAAACAGGAUUAGAAACCCCCGUAGUCC
rnacentral:rRNA from 1 species